rnacentral:sRNA from 1 species
UGUAAAGCUAAAAUCAAGUUUGUGGG